GACGAACGCUGGCGGCGUGCUUAACACAUGCAAGUCGAACGAUGAAGAAAAGAAUCGAAGCUUCGGCAGAAAUUCAUUUCGGAUUAGUGGCAGACGGGUGAGUAACGCGUGAGCAACCUACCUCUUACAAAGGGAUAGCCUCGGGAAACCGGGAUUAAUACCAUAUAACAUUGUGACGAAGCAUUUCGAUGCAAUCAAAGCUACGGCGGUAAGAGAUGGGCUCGCGUCCCAUUAACCGGAGGGUGAGGUAACGGCUCACCAUAGUGACGAUGGGUAACCGGCCUGAGAGGGUGAACGGUCACACUGGAACUGAGACACGGUCCAGACUCCUACGGGAGGCAGCAGUGGGGAAUAUUGCACAAUGGAGGGAACUCUGAUGCAGCGACGCCGCGUGAGUGAUGGAGGAAUUCGUUUCGUAAAACUCUGUUCUAUGGGAAGAAAAGGACUGUACCAUAGGAGAAAGCUCCGGCUAAAUACGUG
rnacentral:rRNA from 1 species